rnacentral:rRNA from 1 species
AGUGAACGCUGGCGGCGUGCCUAAUACAUGCAAGUCGAACGGAGUGGCGCACGGGUGAGUAAUAUAUAGCUACUCUGCCCCUUGCUAGAGGCCAACAGUUAGAAAUGACUGCUAAUACUCCAUAGUAAGGGAUGAGACUAUAACGUAUCAGCUAGUCGGUGGGGGAACGGCCUACCGAGGCUAUGACGCGUAACUGGUAUGAGAGGAUGAUCAGUCAGAUUCGAACUGAGAGAAGGUGCAAGCUCCUACGGGAGGCAGCCGGAGGGAAUACUGAGCAAAGCGGGAUGCGUGAAGGCAGCAUUGCCGCGUUGAAGCUGACUCUUUUGGGAGCGAAAACUCCUUUUGUAAGGGAAGACGUAACCUACCAAUAAGGCCCGGCUAACCCCGUGCCCGCCGCCGCGGUAAUUC